GUGUUGAGAUACAGGUGUGAGCCCCUUUACUCAGUCUAAGGAGAUAGAAUUAUUAUAAUGCUUGGAGCCUAACAUGCCUUUUUUGUUUGUUUGUUUGUUUCUGAGACGAAGUCUCUCUCACAGCCCAGGCUGGAGUGCAGUGGUGCGAUCUCGGCUCACUCCGCCUCCCGGGUUCAAGCGAUUCUCCUGCCUCGGCCUCCUGAGUAGCUGGGAUUACAGGCAUGCCCCACCACAGCCGGCUGAUUUUUGUAUUUUUAGUAGAGGUGGGGUUUCACCACGUUGGCCAGGCUAGGCUCGAACUUCUGACCUCAGGUGAUCCUCCCGCCUCGGCCUCCCAAAGUGCUGGGUUUAUGGGCAUGAGCCACCGCGCCCGGCUUUCCCUCUUACAUUUUAGGGCUAUAUCUAUAUAAUUUCAUAAUUUAAAUUACCAUAUGGUAAAUUUGUCUUCUUUGGGUGCAUUAUGAGUCUUGACACAUGCGUAGAUUGGUGUGACCACUAUCAUAAUCAGGAGAGAGAACAAUCUCCUCAGCCCAGAGAUGUUCAUGGCUCUGUCUCUCACAGUUCCUCCACAGUCACCCCCCCAGGACUGAAUCUGGGGCACCCGCCCAUCUGCUCUGCUCUGGAAGUCUUGGGGAUCCCAUCUGAAUGUAACACAUGGUGGAAUGCCUUAGGUGAAUCCAUCCGCUUUUCCAGUACCACCUUUGCCUCCUCUCUCUGAUGACACAUGAACUUCAUGCCUUUGUGUGCUUUGGCCAAGCUGCUUUUCUUAGAACAGCACAUUUUGCACUGUAGAUGUUAUCAGAAGCAAGGAAAAAACAGCUUUGCUCCUUAAUGUAAGAAACCACAGUGGAAAAAAAUCAGGUGUGUUGUUGAGGCUGCUAAAGCUUUGCUCCUUUUGCCUCUGAUGUCCUUUUAGAGGAUGUUACCCUCACUUUUAUUGCACAGUUCUACCAAAAGGUACUUCAUAUGUGAAAUGUAUCAGAAGGUUAUAGUCAUGGCUUUAGUUUAAAAACAGGAUACAUGUUCAUUAAGAACCUUUGCUGUUUUCCCAAUGGGUUAAUCACGUAAAUAUAAAAUAGGCUAAAAAUAUCAAGUUGUUUUUUCCUUUGUUGUAGAAAUAAAAAAAUGAAUUCCUACAUCUGUACUUCUAUGGAGCUGCUAACCUGUAUUUUACUUUGGGCCAUAUGUCGCUUUCUGUGAUCUCAUGACAUGGCAUGUUUUCUGAUAUAAUCCUUGUCCUGGCAUUUUGGUGACUUUUGUCCUGCCUGAGGUGGUCUGCCUGGUUGUGUGAAGUCACAGAACCUGUGCAUGUCCUACCGUGUAGAGUUAAAGGGCUGGAUGAGUGGCCUCAAGCCUUUUCCUCCCUCCCAGGUGUGAAGAUUUGGUUUGGAAGAUGGACCCUGCUUCAAGGUCUGGGAGGCCAUGUUUUUUUCAGACUGGUUAAGGAUGACGGUUUUAUGUUAACUAAACAUUGGGAUAAAGUG
rnacentral:sRNA from 1 species